AUUGAACGCUGGCGGCAUGCCUUACACAUGCAAGUCGAACGGCAGCACGGGAGCAAUCCUGGUGGCGAGUGGCGAACGGGUGAGUAAUAUAUCGGAACGUGCCCGGUCGUGGGGGAUAACGUAGCGAAAGCUACGCUAAUACCGCAUACGAUCUACGGAUGAAAGCGGGGGAUCGCAAGACCUCGCGCGAUUGGAGCGGCCGAUAUCAGAUUAGGUAGUUGGUGAGGUAAAGGCUCACCAAGCCGACGAUCUGUAGCUGGUCUGAGAGGACGACCAGCCACACUGGGACUGAGACACGGCCCAGACUCCUACGGGAGGCAGCAGUGGGGAAUUUUGGACAAUGGGCGCAAGCCUGAUCCAGCAAUGCCGCGUGCAGGAUGAAGGCCUUCGGGUUGUAACUAGCUUUG
rnacentral:rRNA from 1 species